UGCUAUAUUAAGUCUGCAUUUUAUGUUUAGAUCUACCACAAAUAUGUUGAAACACCAAACCUUUUGCUGCAGGAUUCUGUUGAUUGUCCGGAGUGGAUUGUUCCUUCUCAUGUCUUCAAAUCAUUGGCAGAAGAGAUUCUUUGCCUCAUUGCUAUGGAGAAGCCUAUUUCUCUUACACCUGAGCAUAUUUGAGAUGAGAAAGUGAAGGUGCAUCAAUUAGUUUCUUAUGUCUUCUACUGAUAAUAUGCCGGUGGUCCCUUUCUAUCAAUUGGCUCAAGGUUGAAAAACUCUUGGAUGCCUUUUCUAGUAUGAGAGACAUAUCAAGAUUUAAGUAUUUCUUUAUUACUAUGGAAUGGAGAACAAAUGCGUGUAAAUGAAGGAGCUUUUCCCCUCGUCCUAUUGCUUUCAUUUCUUGCACAAAUGCGUGUAAAUGAAGUAUAUACAAGGUGUUAUGCCAGUUCAUUGAUAGAGUGGAGAAACACCCGAGCAAGAAAAUUGAUGAGAAGAUUGGCCAGUUUUGGAUUGUAUUUUUUUCAUAAAAGAAUUUUUUCCAAGUUUUUAGUUGUAAUAACUUUUACAUAUGGCUCAAAUUUUGAGACUCAAAUAGAAUGUUCAAUAAAACUAUAAAAUGCUACACUGUC